rnacentral:rRNA from 1 species
UGGGGAAUUUUGGACAAUGGGCGCAAGCCUGAUCCAGCAAUGCCGCGUGCAGGAAGAAGGCCUUCGGGUUGUAAACUGCUUUUGUACAGAACGAAACGGUUUGGGAUAAUACCCUAAGCUAAUGACGGUACUGUAAGAAUAAGCACCGGCUAACUACGUGCCAGCAGCCGCGGUAAUACGUAGGGUGCGAGCGUUAAUCGGAAUUACUGGGCGUAAAGCGUGCGCAGGCGGCUGUGUAAGACAGAGGUGAAAUCCCUGGGCUCAACCUAGGAACUGCCUUUGUGACUGCAUGGCUAGAGUACGGUAGAGGGAGAUGGAAUUCCGCGUGUAGCAGUGAAAUGCGUAGAUAUGCGGAGGAACACCAAUGGCGAAGGCAAUCUCCUGGACCUGUACUGACGCU